rnacentral:rRNA from 1 species
CCUACGGGGGGCUGCAGUGGGGAAUAUUGCACAAUGGGCGCAAGCCUGAUGCAGCCAUGCCGCGUGUGUGAAGAAGGCCUUCGGGUUGUAAAGCACUUUCAGCGGGGAGGAAGGCGUUAAGGUUAAUAACCUUGGCGAUUGACGUUACCCGCAGAAGAAGCACCGGCUAACUCCGUGCCAGCAGCCGCGGUAAUACGGAGGGUGCAAGCGUUAAUCGGAAUUACUGGGCGUAAAGCGCACGCAGGCGGUCUGUCAAGUCGGAUGUGAAAUCCCCGGGCUCAACCUGGGAACUGCAUUCGAAACUGGCAGGCUAGAGUCUUGUAGAGGGGGGUAGAAUUCCAGGUGUAGCGGUGAAAUGCGUAGAGGUCUGGGGGAAUACCGGUGGCGAAGGCGGCCCCCUGGACAAAGACUGACGCUCAGGUGCGAAAGCGUGGGGAGCAAACAGGAUUAGAUACCCCUGUAGUC